UACGGAGGGAGCUAGCGUUGUUCGGAAUUACUGGGCGUAAAGCGCGCGUAGGCGGCUUUGUAAGUUAGAGGUGAAAGCCCGGGCUCAACCCCGGAAUUGCCUUUAAGACUGCAUCGCUUGAAUCCGGGAGAGGUGAGUGGAAUUCCUGGUGUAGCGGUGAAAUGCGCAGAUAUUAGGAAGAACACCGGUGGCGAAGGCGG
rnacentral:rRNA from 1 species